rnacentral:rRNA from 1 species
CUACGGGACGCUCCAGGCGCGAAACCUUUACAAUGCACGCAAGUGUGAUAAGGGGAUCCUAAGUGCUCAUGCAAUGCAUGGGCUUUUGCCAAGAGUAAAUAUCUUGGAGAAUAAGUGGUGGGUAAGACUGGUGCCAGCCGCCGCGGUAACACCAGCGCCACGAGUGGCAUCCACGUUUAUUGGGCCUAAAGCGUCCGUAGCCGGUUAGGCAAAUCUCUUGUGAAAUCGUCAGGCUUAACCUGACGGCGCGCUUGAGACACUACCUGACUUGAGACCGGGAGGAGUCAGAGGUAUUCCAGGGGGAGCGGUAAAAUGUGAUAAUCCCUGGAGGAUCACCUAUGGCGAAGGCAUCUGACCAGAACGGAUCUGACGGUGAGGGACGAAGGCUAGGGGAGCGAUCCGGAUUAGAUACCCGUGUAGUC